GGGGGGUAGAGGAAGGUAGAGGGAGGUAGAGGGAGGCAGUUGGAGUUUGGGGGAGGUAGAGGAAGGUAGAGGGAGGUAGAGGGAGGCAGUAGGAGUUAUGGGGAGGUAGAGGAAGGUAGGGGGAGGUAGGGGGAGGCAGAGGGAGGCAGGGAGGUAGGGGGAGGUAGGUAGGUAGGGGGAGGUAGGGGGAGGUAGGGGGAGGUAGAGGGAGGUAGAGGUAGGUAGGGGGAGGUAGAAGGAGGUAUAGGGAGGUAGAGGGAGGGUAGGGGGAGGUAGAGGAAGGUAGAGGGAGGUAGAGGGAGGCAGUGGGAGUUAGGGGGAGGUAGAGGGAGGUAGGGGGAGGUAGAGGAAGGUAGAGGGAGGUAGAGGGGGAGGUAAAGAAGGGUAGAGGGAGGGUAAGAGGGAGGUAGAGG
ensembl:lncRNA